rnacentral:other from 1 species
AAAGUCCUGCUAUGUUUGAGAAAUGAGAUAAUUUUGACCCAACAUUUUAAACUUCGGGAAUCCUACUCUUUUCGCGAAAUGAUACCUUUUUUUAGGAACAAGAAACGAAAAGGUGAUGCCCACCUGCGAAAGCAGGAUCAAAAAUACCUCGUGAGACGGCACAGCGGGUUUUCU